GGAUACCAGGGUCAAGUGUCACUUCCUCUGGCGGUCAAUCUCCAAUAUUCCUUGUAAUGUUUUUAAAUGGACGAAUUCAUUACUUGGGGACGUGUGAAUGGAGAGUGUUGGAGAGCCGGCUUGAUCAAUAGCGUCUACUGAUGGUUCAUUUUUCACUGCGGAGCGAGGAUCGCGGAGCUGAAGAAAGACCUAAUCAAUAACGCGCACCACGGACUGGAAAAGAUGCCCACAGUGUGUGGCCUUCUGGGGAUUUUGAGAGCUAUAUGGGGCUCUGAGGAGCAGCAGGCACCAUCUGAAAGCUUUUACAGUUCACCACAACCAUGGUGGAAUGACAAAGCUUCCUGAGAAUGCUCUUAUAUGGGGCUCUCCACCUGACCACCACUUCCCCUGUGCAGGAUGCCAGUUGGAAGCAGGAAUUGAAUCCACCAGAGUCCAUCCAUUGUUGUGAGCUCCUGGUUCUGGUGCUAUAUUCUUGUCAGUUCUCUUAUUUCUCCAGUAUUUCUCCUAUAUCUCGUCAGCACACAAUUAACAUCUCUGAUAGUUCUCUCCCCAAC
rnacentral:lncRNA from 1 species